UGAACGCUCCGAGAGCGAAACGCUCUGAAUUUAUGAACAGACAAUCCGGCAACGCUCUGAAUUUACGAACACACCCCCUAGGUUCCUUGCGGAUCAACUUCAUACCCACCCAUCAGCUCUGGGACGCAAAAUAGUGUUAUGUUUUGAGACAUUUUAUUUUGGAAUGUUGAACAUUUCAAAUUCGUGGAUCAUUCUUCAGUCAACUGACAGAUGAUGCAAGACUCAAAAACGACCUGGAGGAUUUACAAACUGUUACAAAAGUAUUUUAAUAUGUAAUUUGCCCAGGAAGUCCGUGCGGGAUCAGAAAGAGAAGGGAUCAUGUCAAAUGUCUCAACCUCGGUGAUAGCUCAGUCAUCACCAUCUGAUUAUACAAAGAUGUUUCAAGACAUGUUGAGACAAAGCUGAUCUACUCUAACAGCCGACUGCAAUGCUUGUCUUUUCUUAUAUAAAGAUGGAAUACAUGUCAACAACUCCGACUCAAAGACUGGACAUAGAAUAAAACUAGGGUCCUAUCUGGUGUCAAACAUUAAGCCCUUGUGGAUGAUAGGGCUUUCUGCUUCAGCAGAUUAAGCAAUAGAAGCUCUGAGAUCCCCAAACAAGAGAUGACGAUCUGGCUGUAUAGACUUGAAGAUGGUCGUUUGGAGCUCUAUAUAAACACCUUUAUCAACCCCUGUUGUUGCUUCUG